rnacentral:rRNA from 1 species
UACGUAGGUGGCAAGCGUUGUCCGGAAUUACUGGGUGUAAAGGGAGCGCAGGCGGGGGGACAAGUCAGCUGUGAAAUGCAUGGGCUUAACCGAUGAACUGCAGUUGAAACUGUUCUUCUUGAGUGAAGUAGAGGUUGGCGGAAUUCCGAGUGUAGCGGUGAAAUGCGUAGAUAUUCGGAGGAACACCGGUGGCGAAGGCGGCCAACUGGGCUUUUACUGACGCUGAGGCUCGAAAGUGUGGGGAG